rnacentral:tRNA from 1 species
GGGCGUCCGUGCAGGUCAGGGCAACUUCCACGGUUUACACCGUGGAUGUCGGGGGUUCGAAUCCCUCCGGGCCCA